UGCGCAGGCGGGAUGUAAGUCAGUGGUGAAAGCUGCCGCUUAACGGUAGUCUUGCCAAUGAUACUGCAUUUCUUGAGUAUGGUUAAGGUAGGCGGAAUGUGCAGUGUAGCGGUGAAAUGCAUAGAGAUUGCACAGAAGGCCGAUUGCGGAGGCAGCUUACUGAGCCAUAACUGACGCUGAGGCACGAAAGCGUGGGGAUCGAACA
rnacentral:rRNA from 1 species